rnacentral:rRNA from 1 species
AUGCACGCUGGCGGCGUGCCUCAUCCAUGCCAGUCGCGCGAACAGACGAGGAGCUUGCUCCUCUGACGUUAGCGGCGGACGGGUGAGUAACACGUGGAUAACCUACCUAUAAGACUGGGAUAACUUCGGGAAACCGGAGCUAAUACCGGAUAAUAUAUUGAACCGCAUGGUUCAAUAGUGAAAGACGGUUUUGCUGUCACUUAUAGAUGGAUCCGCGCCGCAUUAGCUAGUUGGUAAGGUAACGGCUUACCAAGGCAACGAUGCGUAGCCGACCUGAGAGGGUGAUCGGCCACACUGGAACUGAGACACGGUCCAGACUCCUACGGGAGGCAGCAGUAGGGAAUCUUCCGCAAUGGGCGAAAGCUUGACGGAGCAACGCCGCGUGAGUGAUGAAGGUCUUCGGAUCGUAAAACUCUGUUAUUAGGGAAGAACAAAUGUGUAAGUAACUAUGCACGUCUUGACGGUACCUAAUCAGAAAGCCACGGCUAACUACGUG